GACGAACGCUGGCGGCGUGCUUAACACAUGCAAGUCGAACGAAGAGCGAUGGAAGCUUGCUUCUAUCAAUCUUAGUGGCGAACGGGUGAGUAACGCGUAAUCAACCUGCCCUUCAGAGGGGGACAACAGUUGGAAACGACUGCUAAUACCGCAUACGAUCUAAUCUCGGCAUCGAGGAUAGAUGAAAGGUGGCCUCUACAUGUAAGCUAUCACUGAAGGAGGGGAUUGCGUCUGAUUAGCUAGUUGGAGGGGUAACGGCCCACCAAGGCGAUGAUCAGUAGCCGGUCUGAGAGGAUGAACGGCCACAGUGGGACUGAGACACGGCCCAGACUUCUACGGGAGGCAGCAGGGGGGAAUCUUCCGCAAUGGACGAAAGUCUGACGGAGCAACGCCGCGUGAGUGAUGACGGCCUUCGGGUUGGAAAGCUCUGUUAAUCGGGACGAAAGGCCUUCUUGCGAAUAGGGAGAAGGAUUGACGGUACCGGAAUAGAAAGCCACGGCUAACUACGUG
rnacentral:rRNA from 1 species